rnacentral:lncRNA from 1 species
GAACAAUGAAUUGGGAAAGCCAAAAGAGUCAGCUAUCCUGCCAGGCCCCCUCCUUCCCUUUGCCAGAUAGAAUCCUACCUAUCCUUUGAGGCUCAUCUGCUCCAAGAAGCCUUCCUCUUCAAACUUCAAUC